rnacentral:rRNA from 1 species
UGAGGAACAUGACUUUCGGCGGGGGAGUAGCCGGGCCCAACGGCCGGGUAAUACCGCGUACGACCUCUCGGGGACGAUCCCCGGUUGGUGAAAGCAGCAAUGCACCGAAAGAGUGCCUCGCGGCCUAUCAGCUAGUUGGUGGGGUAACGGCUCACCAAGGCAACGAUGCGUAGCCGACCUGAGAGUGUGAUCGGCCACAUUGGAACUGAGACACGGUCCAGACUCCUACGGGAGGCAG